CAGUUAAGUGCCACAAAACUUUGAAAGAACUGAGAUCAACUUCGGGUUUGACAAAGCUAAUAUAAGAAUGGGGAAGGUCAUUUCUCCUUUUUGCUAACAACCUAUAAGAAAACAGCUCCUGACACUGUGCAUGCUGCAAAGACCGUCGGCCUUGCUUGGGAGUUUUUCAACCACUGUUGGCCACUUCCACAUCUACCAUCUCCUCAAGUCAUGGACACUGAGUUCAUUUUAUUAAGACCCUGGGCUUACCAAUCAUCUUCAAAAACAAUCUGAUAAAUUGGCCUUCCUAAGCCACUGAAGGAGAAGGAGAAACCAGAACAUGAGGAACCACACAAACAAUCAGCUGUACAUGUGGUUGGAUUUUUCACUUUCCCCAUGGGUGUUUUUGUUGAACAGCUAAAGAGACAUGGAAAUUUGCAAUUUAGUUGUCAAUAUUGAGAGAUCUCUCUACGGUCUUAUCUUGCUAUUCUUUGUUUCCCUGGACUCAAGAGACUUGAAUCUCUUCCCUCUUGCUCCUAGGGAGGGAGAAGGGCUUUUCAUGUGAUCUUUUAUUUCAAGCCUAGAAUAUCACUUUUGUUGUUGCA